UGCUUCUGAACCUCCUGGUUAUUGACUUUCCUGAGCACUUUGUGAACUCUUGCUUUCAUUCAUGUCUCACUCAGUAAGUGUCAGCACAGAUACUGAAUUCUCUGUGGACCAAACCAAAUUGAAAUAUGCACUCCAGCUGUGCACCCAGUAUGUUCCAGCUGUGCACCUGGUGUUUUCCAACCUGAGCCUGGUUCAGAGAAAUCCACCCAAACACAUAUAUUGUGGAUCUUGAGUAAUCUUCAUCUCUCCAAAUGGUGUAGUCAGCAGUAUGAAGCCAGUGCUAUGUAAGGAAAGCUUUCUAGGGAAAGAAGUAAGAAUUCUUUGAAUAUCUGACUUGCAGGUCAAAUGUAGAAAACUGUCAGGUUGUUGUCCAGAAGAGGAAACCACCAUUGUACUUGAAAAAGUUUUAAAGAGAAGAAUACCAUCUAAGUGGGUUGACCACCUCAAAUCAGCACAGUGCUACUUAAGAACAGAGGAGGAAGGAGGACUGUAUGGAACACCUUCUGUUCAUGUGGUUAUUUAGAAGCCAUCAACAUGUCAGAGCCUGUCUCUCAAGCUCAGAACAUGCAUUGCAUCGCAGAACUGUAAAGAAGCCGCAGUCACUUGGAAGGUAACUGACAGUGGGGCUGCAAUCCCAACCCA